GACGAACGCUGGCGGCGUGCCUAAUACAUGCAAGUUGAGCGAUGAAGAUUGGUGCUUGCACCCAUUUGAAGAGCAGCGAACGGGUGAGUAACGCGUGGGGAAUCUGCCUUUGAGCGGGGGACAACAUUUGGAAACGAAUGCUAAUACCGCAUAACAACUUUAAACAUAAGUUUUAAGUUUGAAAGAUGCAAUUGCAUCACUCAAAGAUGAUCCCGCGUUGUAUUAGCUAGUUGGUGAGGUAAAGGCUCACCAAGGCGAUGAUACAUAGCCGACCUGAGAGGGUGAUCGGCCACAUUGAGACUGAGACACGGCCCAAACUCCUACGGGAGGCAGCAGUAGGGAAUCUUCGGCAAUGGACGAAAGUCUGGCCGAGCAACGCCGCGUGAGUGAAGAAGGUUUUCGGAUCGUAAAACUCUGUUGGUAGAGAAGAACGUUGGUGAGAGUGGAAAGCUCAUCAAGUGACGGUAACUACCCAGAAAGGGACGGCUAACUACGUG
rnacentral:rRNA from 1 species